rnacentral:rRNA from 1 species
AUGCCCUCCAACAGAAUGAUACUUGGCGUCUUUGUUCCUCCAAAGUCUGGCGUCAACAUCAUUGAUUCCAAGUGGGUUUUCAAGGUCAAGCGCCAUGCUGAUGGUUCCAUUGAGCGUUACAAGGCACGGUUAGUCGCCAAGGGCUUCAAACAGAGGUAUGGUCUUGAUUAUGAAGACACGUUCAGUCCAGUUAUCAAGCCUACUACCAUUCGGUUACUACUGUCUCUUGCGAUUACUCGUGGAUGGUUCCUUCGUCAGCUUGAUGUACAGAAUGCCUUUCUCCAUGGCAUUCUGGAGGAGGAGAUUUAUAUGCGUCAACCGCCUGGUUUUGUUGAUCCGACACGACCUCAUCAUCUCUGUCGUCUGGUCAAGGCGCUGUAUGGACUGAAACAGGCUCCUCGUGCAUGGCAUGCUCGCCUUGGAUCCGUUCUUCGGGCUCUUGGGUUUACUCCAUCCACUGCUGAUACAUCA